CAGGUUUACCUGUGUGACUGCGUACCUUUUGUAUAAUGGGUCAGCGACUUAUAUUCUGUAGCAAGGUUAACCGUAUAGGGGAGCCGCAGGGAAACCGAGUCUUAACCGGGCGUUAAGUUGCAGGGUAUAGACCCGAAACCCGGUGAUCUAGCCAUGGGCAGGUUGAAGGUUGGGUAACACUAACUGGAGGACCGAACCGACUAAUGUUGAAAAAUUAGCGGAUGACCUGUGGCUGGGGGUGAAAGGCCAAUCAAACCGGGAGAUAGCUGGUUCUCCCCGAAAGCUAUUUAGGUAGCGCCUCGUGAAUUCAUCUCCGGGGGUAGAGCACUGUUUCGGCUAGGGGGCCAUCCCGGCUUACCAACCCGAUGCAAACUGCGAAUACCGGAGAAUGUUAUCACGGGAGACACACGGCGGGUGCUAACGUCCGUCGUGAAGAGGGAAACAACCCAGACCGCCAGCUAAGGUCCCAAAGUCAUGGUUAAGUGGGAAACGAUGUGGGAAGGCCCAGACAGCCAGGAUGUUGGCUUAGAAGCAGCCAUCAUUUAAAGAAAGCGUAAUAGCUCACUGGUCGAGUCGGCCUGCGCGGAAGAUGUAACGGGGCUAAACCAUGCACCGAAGCUGCGGCAGCGAACGUAUCACUUAAAGCGAUUCAGCGGGUUACGAUUGACGGAGCGAAGCGACGUCAAAGCGUAUACAAAGUCGAGUCGGUUUAAGGAUACGUUCGUUGGGUAGGGGAGCGUUCUGUAAGCCUGCGAAGGUGGCCUGUGAGGGUUGCUGGAGGUAUCAGAAGUGCGAAUGCUGACAUAAGUAACGAUAAAGCGGGUGAAAAGCCCGCUCGCCGGAAGACCAAGGGUUCCUGUCCAACGUUAAUCGGGGCAGGGUGAGUCGACCCCUAAGGCGAGGCCGAAAGGCGUAGUCGAUGGGAAACGGGUUAAUAUUCCCGUACUUGGUGUUACUGCGAAGGGGGGACGGAGAAGGCUAUGUUGGCCGGGCGACGGUUGUCCCGGUUUAAGCGUGUAGGUGUGUGUUCCAGGUAAAUC
rnacentral:rRNA from 1 species